rnacentral:tRNA from 2 species
GCUCUGAAAGCUUUACAAUUGAAGCAGUGGCCUUGUAAGUCACAGAAGGACCAUACUCCUCAGAGCU